AGGAUUCCAUGUAUUUAACCCAAACAGGAUUUGAAGGAAUUGACAGAGUAAACAUCAUCAUCUUUCACCAACCUUUGCCCAAAAAUCUCACAAUUUGUUAGUUAGUUUGACCAAUCCCAAAUAGAACAAAAUAUUUUGAAGGUAUAAGACGAUAAAUAAACAAAGAAAAACAUAUGCAACAUCAUGCAUAUUCAAAAUAGAAAUAAUCAUAAUGCAGAUGCCAAGUAAAAGAAAGAAACUAAGA
rnacentral:lncRNA from 1 species